rnacentral:rRNA from 1 species
UACGUAGGGGGCAAGCGUUGUCCGGAUUUAUUGGGCGUAAAGAGCGUGUAGGCGGCUUGGUAGGUCCGCUGUGAAAACUCGAGGCUCAACCUCGAGAUGUCGGCGGAAACCACUUGGCUAGAGUCCGGAAGAGGAGAAUGGAAUUCCCGGUGUAGCGGUGAGAUGCGCAGAUAUCGGGAAGAACACCCGUGGCGAAGGCGGUUCUCUGGGACGGUACUGACGCUGAGACGCGAAAGCGUGGGGAGCGAACAGG